ACUUGAGUGCGAGAAUCAGCCCGGUUCUCCUGCUGAUGUUUGAAGAGAAUCAUUUGAAAAGUGGGGAACGAGAUGUGGAAAUAUACUCGUUGGAAACCAGUCGAUAGUCUGCGCCCGGAGUGCUUCUGUGCGCACUGGGUUACUAGUAGCAGACAAGCUCCUCUUUUCAUACUGCAGUGUUUUUCGCCUACGCGUUGUUACGACAUUUCCAUACACCGAUGGAGACAGUAUUCCCGAAAGAAUGGAAGGACUCACAUUCAGCUACCAAUAAAAAGCCAACAAGGUAUUCCAGAGGAGGAAAAAAAAAAUCCCUGGCAAUCAAUCACGCUUUGGAAUAUAGAGGAAUUGAGCAGGCCUUUGCUGCUAACAUUUGGAUUUCUUCUUUUUAUUCCCCCCACUUUUUUGUGGGAAAUAAAGGAGCUGCCUCAAACCAUAUUUGUCCACGUGAUGAUUCUCUUUCAGAAUGGAUCCUCACCUCACCGAUCUGAUAAAGGGUGGCGUUUAUUUCCUGCACACUGAAGUUAAACACCUUUUCAAAAAAUAAUAAUAUAAAACCUCCCCAUAGCACCUGGCGAUGGACAUCAAACGUAGAUUUUGUCUGCAAAAUGUGAAUUUACGCUUGAUUUAUGCAAUAAACGACAUGUGUGUGCAUGUGUGUGUUUCCCCCUCAAUUGUAUUUAAAUAAAGCCCUUUUGUUGUCUGUCUCACAAAGAGCCGUGCAUUGUCUA